rnacentral:rRNA from 1 species
GAUGAACGCUGGCGGCGUGCCUAACACAUGCAAGUCGAGCGAUUUACUUCGGUAAAGAGCGGCGGACGGGUGAGUAACACGUGGGCAACCUGCCUGUAAGACUGGGAUAACUUCGGGAAACCGGAGCUAAUACCGGAUAAUCCUUUUCCUCACAUGAGGAAAAGCUGAAAGUCGGUUUACGCUGACACUUACAGAUGGGCCCGCGGCGCAUUAGCUAGUUGGUGAGGGAACGGCUCACCAAGGCGACGAUGCGUAGCCGACCUGAGAGGGUGAUCGGCCACACUGGGACUGAGACACGGCCCAGACUCCUACGGGAGGCAGCAGUAGGGAAUCUUCCGCAAUGGACGAAAGUCUGACGGAGCAACGCCGCGUGAGCGAUGAAGGCCUUCGGGUCGUAAAGCUCUGUUGUUAGGGAAGAACAAGUAUCGGAGUAACUGCCGGUACCUUGACGGUACCUAACCAGAAAGCCACGGCUAACUACGUGCCAGCAGCCGCGGUAA